GCCAGGCAUGGGCAUGGUGGUGUGUGCCUGUCAUCCCAACUACUCAGGAGGCUGAGGCAAGAGGAUCCCUUGAAUCCAGGAGUCCUGGGCUAUAGGGCGCUAUGCCAAUUGGGUGUGUGCACUAAGUUCAGCAUCAAUAUGGUGACCUCCCAGGAACAGGGGACCACUAGGUUGCCUAAAGAGGGGUGAACCUGCCCAGAUCAAGAUGGAACCGGUCAAAAAACUCCCAUGCUAAUCAAUAGCAGGACAGCACCUGUGAAUAACCACUGCACUCCAGCCUGGGCAGCAGAGCAAAACCCCAUCUCU
rnacentral:SRP_RNA from 1 species